UACGGAGGGAGCUAGCGUUGUUCGGAAUUACUGGGCGUAAAGCGUGCGCAGGCGGUUCGUUAAGUCAGAUGUGAAAGCCCCGGGCUCAACCUGGGAACUGCAUUUGAAACUGGCGGGCUUGAGUGUGGCAGAGGGGGGUGGAAUUCCGCGUGUAGCAGUGAAAUGCGUAGAGAUGCGGAGGAACACCGAUGGCGAAGGCAGCCCCCUGGGCCAACACUGACGCUCAGGCACGAAAGCGUGGGGAGCAAACAGG
rnacentral:rRNA from 1 species